CAUCGCCACCAGGUGUACUUCAGUUAAAUACCAAAAUCUGAGCACACUUGGUAGCGGUGCC
rnacentral:pre_miRNA from 1 species